GAUGAAGAACGUAGCGAAAUGCGAUAAGUAAUGUGAAUUGCAGAAUUCAGUGAAUCAUCGAAUCUUUGAACGCACCUUGCGCUCCUUGGUAUUCCGAGGAGCAUGCCUGUUUGAGUGUCAUUAAUUUCUCAACUACACCAUUUUGUUAACAAAGUGCUUGUGUAGCUUGGAUGUGGAGGCUUUGCAGGUCCGCCCACCAGCGGUCUGCUCCUCUGAAAUGUAUUAGUGGGUUGUGCCCCUAAUCUAUUGGUGUGAUAAUUAUCUACGCCGUGGAUUCAGGUUUUGGCUACAUUAGACCUGCUUCUAACCGUCUCGUCAUGAGACAACAUUUGACAAUUUUGACCUCAAAUCAGGUAAGACUACCCGCUGAACUUAAGCAUAUCAAUAAGCGGAGGA
rnacentral:misc_RNA from 1 species